GACGAACGCUGGCGGCGUGCUUAACACAUGCAAGUCGAACGGAAAGGCCCUGCUUUUGUGGGGUGCUCGAGUGGCGAACGGGUGAGUAACACGUGAGUAACCUGCCCUUGACUUUGGGAUAUCUUCAGGAAACUGGGGCUAAUACCGGAUAGGAGCUCCUGCUGCAUGGUGUGGGUUGGAAAGUUUCGGUGGUUGGGGAUGGACUCGCGGCUUAUCAGCUUGUUGGUGGGGUAGUGGCUUACCAAGGCUUUGACGGGUAGCCGGCCUGAGAGGGUGACCGGCCACAUUGGGAGUGAGAUAGGGACCGGACUGCUACGGGAGGGAGGAGUGGGGAAUGUUGCACAAUGGACGGGAGCAUGAUGCAGCAACGCCGCGUGCGGGAUGACGGACUUCGGGUUGUAAACCGCUUUCGCCUGUGACGAAACGUGAGUGACGGUAAUGGGUGAAGAAGCACCGGCUAACUACGUG
rnacentral:rRNA from 1 species